rnacentral:rRNA from 1 species
GACGAACGCUGGCGGCGUGCUUAACACAUGCAAGUCGAACGGAAAGGCCCUGCUUUUGUGGGUUGCUCGAUUGGCGAACGGGUGAGUAACACGUGAGUAACCUGUCCUUGACUUUGGGAUAACUCCUGGAAACUCGGGCUAAUACCGCAUAGGAGCUCCUGCUGCAUGGUGGUGGUUGGAAAGUUUCGGCGGUUGGGGAUGGUCUCGCUGCUUACCCGCUUGUUGGUGGGGUAGUGGCUUACCAAGGCUUUGACGGGUAGCCGGCCUGAGAGGGUGACCGGCCAAACUUUGACUUCGAUACGGCCCAGACUACUACAGGAGGCAGCAGUGGGGAGCAUGUCGCGAUGGGCGAUAGCCAGAUGCUACAACGCCGGGUGCGGAAUGACCGCCUUCGGGGUGUGAACCGCUUUGGCCAGUGACGGACCGUGAGUGACGGUAACGGGUAAAGAAGCAACGGCUAACUACGUG